UACAGAGUUAAGGUACACACCAGCCUUGUCCUUUCUCACACGCUAAACUCUUCCGCCCUGGAGCUGGCAAGAGCCACUGGGGUAAUACUAGCUUUAAAUUUGACUGAGGUGCACCUGUGGGGUGCACAUGGACACUUUCUGAGAACAGUUCACUGCAACUCAGCUAUCAGACUGGCCUUUCUCUUUGCCUCUCUAUGGCCCCAAUAGGGCUGAAAGGACCCUGGGGAGGAAGGAAGACGGUAACUGAAGGGCUGUCUAAAUGCAAUUGGAAAUGCAGAAUCAUCAGAGAGCAGGCUUGUUACUUGGAGUCUAUGAAUAAUCCCAUUCUUUCUACUUCUGUUGUUGAAUUCCAC